AUGAACGUUGGCGGCGUGGAUUAGGCAUGCAAGUCGAGCGGGUGUAGUAAUACAUCAGCGGCGAAAGGGAGAGUAACGCGUAGUUACGUGCCCCGAGGUCCGGAAUAGCUGCGGGAAACUGCAGGUAAUGCUGGAUAAUAUCUGCUCUGUAAUGGAUCAGAUCAAAGGUGUGAUUCCGCCUUGGGAGCGGACUGCGUUGUACUAGCUAGUUGGUAGGGUAAUGGCCUACCAAGGCGAUGAUGCAUACCGGGCGUGAGAGCGUGGCCCGGCUCACUGGGACUGAGACACUGCCCAGACACCUACGGGUGGCUGCAGUCGAGAAUCUUCGGCAAUGAGCGCAAGCUUGACCGAGCGACGCCGCGUGCGGGAUGAAGGCCUUCGGGUUGUAAACCGCUUUCGGUAGGGAGGAAAUCGCUGGGGGUUCUCCCCCAGUGUUGACCUAUCUUCGGAAGAAGGACGGGCUAAGUUCGU
rnacentral:rRNA from 1 species